rnacentral:rRNA from 1 species
AACGAACGCUGGCGGCAGGCUUAACACAUGCAAGUCGAGCGAGACCUUCGGGUCUAGCGGCGGACGGGUGAGUAACGCGUGGGAACGUGCCCUUCUCUACGGAAUAGCCCCGGGAAACUGGGAGUAAUACCGUAUACGCCCUUUGGGGGAAAGAUUUAUCGGAGAAGGAUCGGCCCGCGUUGGAUUAGGUAGUUGGUGGGGUAAUGGCCCACCAAGCCGACGAUCCAUAGCUGGUUUGAGAGGAUGAUCAGCCACACUGGGACUGAGACACGGCCCAGACUCCUACGGGAGGCAGCAGUGGGGAAUCUUAGACAAUGGGGGCAACCCUGAUCUAGCCAUGCCGCGUGAGUGAUGAAGGCCUUAGGGUUGUAAAUCUCUUUCAGCUGGGAAGAUAAUGACGGUACCAGCAGAAGAAGCCCCGGCUAACUCCGUG